rnacentral:rRNA from 1 species
CACGUGAGGGCGCAAGCUUGUCCGGAAUUAUUGGGCGUAAAGAGCUCGUAGGCGGUCUGUUACGUCUGCUGUGAAAACCCGGGGCUUAACCCUGGGCUUGCAGUGGAUACGGGCAGACUAGAGGCAGGUAGGGGAGAAUGGAAUUCCCGGUGUAGCGGUGAAAUGCGCAGAUAUCAGGAGGAACACCGGUGGCGAAGGCGGAUCUCUGGGCCGAUACUGACGCUGAGGAGCGAAAGCGUGGGGAGCGAACAGG